CCUGGAUUGAAAAGUUUAGCCUACACUGGUUUAGAACUCACAUGCUUCUAGCCUCUACCACCACUUGCUGAGAUUCAAGACUUCUUGAACAGCCACUACCAUAAAUGCUCUGGUCCAUCUCGUACGUGUUCCCGUGUUGCAGGCGGCUGUUGGGGAAGAUGACCAGGACUGAAAACAGAGCAUGCUUUGUAUCAGAGCUUCUCAGACUAUAGACUACCCUAGAAACAUCUGGGAGCCCUGUUUCAAGACAAAGCUUCAUUCCAUAGAUCUACAAUGACCUGACAUGGCUUCUGACAGAACAAGCUCCUGGCAAUACCAGUGCCUGACUAAGUUAUAGAAUAUAAUUCCUCAAUUACUUGAAAAUUCUUCAAUCAUAUCGUGCAUAAAUAUGACAAAAAGAAGGUGAGGAUCAGGCCCAGGGCAUAUUCAGAACUGAAUACUUCUUAGUCCUUGGAAUGCCCCAUCCAGAGAGAGCAGAGACAACUCAGCAGCUGAAGAGAAGAGCAGUAUUCUGCUCCUAGGCUUGUUCAUGAAGCCUAUCAUCCAUCCUGCUCCCUGCAUAUCAGGCUCAACCACCAAACCAUGCUGUUUUAGAAUCUGGACAGAUGCCACAAUGUGUGUACUCAAGAGGAACACAAGUGAGAUACUGUCCAUGGUGAUUGACUUGUCUUGAUGAACUGUUCUGUGUAGGCUUUUGUUUCUCCAUCUAUAAGAUAGAUGGUUUUAAAGGACUGGUUCUUCUAGCUCUCACCUUACAGAAAAACUAUUAAAGGAAAUCAAGAAUGCAGGCAUGGGCAAUGUUCGGUAUUCUUAGCCACUGAGAUUACAUUUUAAUCUAGUAAGCAUGGUUAUCACCAAGAAAAAAAAACCUACAGUCAAUGCUGACAAGGAGUUGAGGAAAGAGGAACCCUUGUUCACUGUUGGUGGCAAUGUGGUCUGGUGAAGUUUUUAUGGAAAUCAAUGUAUAGGGUCCUCAAAAACUCAAACGAGUAUUACCAUAUGGCUAGGUGAUAGCAUUCCUGUGCAAAUAUCCAAAGGCAUCUGAGUUAAUAUACCACAGAGCCAUUUGUGUACCUAUUUAUUGCUGUUCUCUUUACAAAAGCCAAAAUAUUGAAGGAAUCACCCUUGAUGUCUAUUAGCAGAUGACUUGCUAGUAAAAAUAUGGUAAUAUGGUGCAUAUAUACAAUGGAAUGCAAUUUAUCCAUAAAGAAAAGUGGAAUUAUGUCACUUGUAAGAAAUGAAUAUAAUUUAGGACCAUCAAAAGAAAAUAAAGCUGAAUCAGAAC
rnacentral:lncRNA from 1 species